rnacentral:lncRNA from 1 species
GACGAUUCCAGCAACGAUUCCAGCGACGAUUCCGGAGAUUCCAGCGACGAUGACGACCAGAGUUAGCGACGAUGACGGUAACUAAACACUGCUCUUCUUCUCCUUCUUAUAUCAUGUGAGCAUAAAUUGAAGAAAGCCACAUACCAUUUUUACAAUUCAAUCAAAUUCUUAGCUUUAAUUUCUACCCUUUUUUCAUGAGGAAUUGAUUUCUGAAUAAAUUACUACUCUUUUUCAG